AUUGAACGCUGGCGGCAGGCCUAACACAUGCAAGUCGAGCGGAGCGGCGGACGGGUGAGUACUGCCUAGGAAUCUGCCUGGUAGUGUGGGCUAACGUCCGGAAACGGGCGCUAAUACCGCAUACUAUCAGAUGAGCCUCUGUCGGCUUAGCUAGUUGGUGGGGUAACGGCCUACCAAGGCGACGAUCCGUCACUGGUCUGACAGGAUGAGCAGUCACACUGGAACUGAGACACGGUCCAGACUCCUACGGGAGGCAGCAGUGGGGAAGAUUGGACAAUGGUCGAAAGCCUGAUCCAGCCAUGCCGCGUGUGUGAAGAAGGUCUUCGGAUUGGAAAGCACUGUAAGUUGGGAGGCGUUACCAACAGAAUAAGCACCGGCUAACUUCGUGCCAGCCGCCGCGGUAAUAC
rnacentral:rRNA from 1 species